rnacentral:rRNA from 1 species
CAGGCCUAACACAUGCAAGUCGAGCGGUAGAGAGAAGCUUGCUUCUCUUGAGAGCGGCGGACGGGUGAGUAAUGCCUAGGAAUCUGCCUGGUAGUGGGGGAUAACGUUCGGAAACGGACGCUAAUACCGCAUACGUCCUACGGGAGAAAGCAGGGGACCUUCGGGCCUUGCGCUAUCAGAUGAGCCUAGGUCGGAUUAGCUAGUUGGUGGGGUAAUGGCUCACCAAGGCGACGAUCCGUAACUGGUCUGAGAGGAUGAUCAGUCACACUGGAACUGAGACACGGUCCAGACUCCUACGGGAGGCAGCAGUGGGGAAUAUUGGACAAUGGGCGAAAGCCUGAUCCAGCCAUGCCGCGUGUGUGAAGAAGGUCUUCGGAUUGUAAAGCACUUUAAGUUGGGAGGAAGGGUUGUAGAUUAAUACUCUGCAAUUUUGACGUUACCGACAGAAUAAGCACCGGCUAACUCUGUGCCAGCAGCCGCGGUAAUACAGAGGGUGCAAGCGUUAAUCGGAAUUACUGGGCGUAAAGCGCGCGUAGGUGGUUAGUUAAGUUGGAUGUGAAAUCCCCGGGCUCAACCUGGGAACUGCAUUCAAAACUGACUGACUAGAGUAUGGUAGAGGGUGGUGGAAUUUCCUGUGUAGCGGUGAAAUGCGUAGAUAUAGGAAGGAACACCAGUGGCGAAGGCGACCACCUGGACUGAUACUGACACUGAGGUGCGAAACGUUGGGGAGCAAACAGGAUUAGAUACCCUGGUAGUCCAC